rnacentral:snRNA from 1 species
UCGGGAGCUUUCCCCGGGC